GACGAACGCUGGCGGCGUGCUUAACACAUGCAAGUCGAACGGAAAGGCCCUGCUUUUGUGGGGUGCUCGAGUGGCGAACGGGUGAGUAACACGUGAGUAACCUGCCCUUGACUUUGGGAUAACUUCAGGAAACUGGGGCUAAUACCGGAUAGGAGCUCCUGCUGCAUGGUGUGGGUUGGUAAGUUUCGGCGGUUGGGGAUGGACUCGCGGCUUAUCAGCUUGUUGGUGGGGUAGUGGCUUACCAAGGCUUUGACGGGUAGCCGGCCUGCGAGGGUGACCGGCCACAUUGGGACUGAGAUACGGCCCAGACUCCUACGGGAGGCAGCAGUGGGGAAUAUUGCACAAUGGGCGGAAGCCUGAUGCAGCAACGCCGCGUGCGGGAUGACGGCCUUCGGGUUGUAAACCGCUUUCGCCUGUGACGAAGCGUGAGUGACGGUAAUGGGAAAAGAAGCACCGGCCAACUACGUG
rnacentral:rRNA from 1 species